GAUGGGCUUGCGUCUGAUUAGAUAGUUGGUGUGGUAACGGCAUACCAAGUCGACGAUCAGUAGCCGAACUGAGAGGUUGAACGGCCACAUUGGGACUGAGACACGGCCCAGACUCCUACGGGAGGCAGCAGUGAGGGAUAUUCGGCAAUGGGGGAAACCCUGACCGAGCAACGCCGCGUGAGGGAAGACGGUUUUCGGAUUGUAAACCUCUGUCCUCUGUGAAGAUAGUGACGGUAGCAGAGGAGGAAGCUCCGGCUAACUAC
rnacentral:rRNA from 1 species